rnacentral:rRNA from 1 species
AAGUCGGUCGUGAAAGUUCAGGGCUCAACCCUGAAAUGUCGAUCGAUACUGUUGUGACUAGGAUACGGCAGAGGUGAGUGGAAUUCCGAGUGUAGCGGUGAAAUGCGUAGAUAUUCGGAGGAACACCAAUUGCGAAGGCAGCUCACUGGGCCGCUAUCGACGCUGAGGAGCGAAAGCUAGGGGAGCAAACAGGAUUAGAUACCCUGGUAGUCCUAGCUGUAAACGAUGGAUACUAGAUGUAGGAAUUGGUUUAACGAUUUCA